GACGAACGCUGGCGGCGUGCUUAACACAUGCAAGUCGAACGGCAAGGCCCUGCUUUUGUGGGGUGCUCGAGUGGCGAACGGGUGAGUAACACGUGAGUAACCUGCCCUUGACUUUGGGAUAACUUCAGGAAACUGGGGCUAAUACCGGAUAGGAGCUCCUGCUGCAUGGUGGGGGUUGGAAAGUUUCGGCGGUUGGGGAUGGACUCGCGGCUUAUCGGCUUGUUGGUGGGGUAGUGGCUUACCAAGGCAUUGACCGGUGGCCGGCCUGAGCGGGUGGGCGGGGACAAUGGGACUGAGAUACGGCCCAGACUCGAACGGGAGGCAGCAGAGGGGAAUAUGACACAAUGGGCGGACGCCGGAUGCAGCAACGCCGCGUGCGGGAAGACGUCCUUCGGGUAGUAAACCGCUGUCGCCUGAGACGAAGCGUGAGUGACGGUACUGGGAAAAGAAGCACCGGCUAACUACGUG
rnacentral:rRNA from 1 species